AAAUUGAAGAGUUUGAUCAUGGCUCAGAUUGAACGCUGGCGGCAGGCCUAACACAUGCAAGUCGAGCGGAAACGAGUUAACUGAACCUUCGGGGGACGAUAACGGCGUCGAGCGGCGGACGGGUGAGUAAUGCCUAGGAAAUUGCCCUGAUGUGGGGGAUAACCAUUGGAAACGAUGGCUAAUACCGCAUGAUGCCUACGGGCCAAAGA
rnacentral:rRNA from 1 species